AACGAACGCUGACGGCGUGCCUAACACAUGCAAGUCGAACGAGAAAGGGAUUUCGGUCCUGAGUAAAGUGGCGCACGGGUGAGUAACACGUAGGUAACCUGCCUCCAAGAUUGGGAUAACCUGUCGAAAGACGGGCUAAUACCGAAUAAGACCACAGCUCCUUCGGGAGCAGGGGUCAAAGGUAGCCUCUACUUGUAAGCUAUCACUUGGAGAUGGGCCUGCGCACCAUUAGCUAGUUGGGGGGGUAACGGCCUACCAAGGCAAAGAUGGUUAGCUGGUCUGAGAGGAUGAUCAGCCAAACUGGAACUGAGACACGGUCCAGACUCCUACGGGAGGCAGCAGUGGGGAAUAUUGCGCAAUGGGCGAAAGCCUGACGCAGCAACGCCGCGUGAGUGACGAAGGCCUUCGGGUCGUAAGGCUCUGUCGGAGGGAACGAAUGCUCUCGAGGUUAAUAGCCUCGGGAAGUGACGGUACCUUCAAAGGAAGCACCGGCUAACUCUGUGCCAGCAGCCGCAGUAACAC
rnacentral:rRNA from 1 species